UCACUUGUCACUGUGACUUAUCGCUUAUCUCACUAGGCUAAGUGAUUUAUCUGGGUAUCACUUCUUUCUGCAUCUGGCCUUUGUCAAUAGCAGUGAACAAAGAGAAGAAAAGGAAGCAGGAUUCUUCUUGGAGAUGUUGCAGAGGAGGAGGAGGAGGAGGAGGAAGAAGAAGAAGAAGAAGAAGAAGAAGAAGAAGAAGAAGAAGAAGAAGAAGAAAACGAAAAGGUGGCAGAAGAAAGAAAAAGUGGAAGAAAGAAAUAAAAAAGAAACACUUGAAGCAUUUUUAGGGUUGUAAAUCACAGGUUCUUGGAAGGCUGAGGCAAGUAGAUCACAAGUUUUAGACUCACUUAACCUACUGUCUAAAAAAAAG
ensembl:processed_transcript Platr32 pluripotency associated transcript 32